GUCCAGACUCCUACGGGAGGCAGCAGUGGGGAAUAUUGCACAAUGGGGGAAACCCUGAUGCAGCAACGCCGCGUGAGUGAAGAAGUCAUUCGUGAUGUAAAGCUCUAUCAGCAGGGAAGAAAAUGACGGUACCUGAGUAAGAAGCCCCGGCUAACUACGUGCCAGCAGCCGCGGUAAUACGUAGGGGGCAAGCGUUAUCCGGAUUUACUGGGUGUAAAGGGAGCGUAGACGGCAGCGCAAGUCUGGAGUGGAAUGCCGGGGGCCAACCCCGGGACUGCUCUUGGAACUGCGUGGCUGGAGUGCAGGAGGGGCGGGCGGAAUUCCUGGUGUAGCGGUGAAAUGCGUAG
rnacentral:rRNA from 1 species